AUUGAACGCUGGCGGCAGGCCUAACACAUGCAAGUCGAGCGAGUGGCGGACGGAUGGGUAAUGUAUGGGAAACUGCCUGAUGGAGGGGGAUAACUACUGAAAACGGUAGCUAAUACCGCAUACCAUCAGAUGUGCCCAGCUGGGAUUGGCUAGUAGGUGGGGUAACGGCUCACCUAGGCGACGAUCCCUAGCUGGUCUGAGAGGAUGACCAGCCACACUGGAACUGAGACACGGUCCAGACUCCUACGUGAGGCAGCAGUGGGGAAUAUUGCACAAUGGGCGCAAGCCUGAUGCAGCCAUGCCGCGUGUAUGAAGAAGGCCUUCGGGUUGUAAAGUACUUUCAGCGGGGAGGCGUUACCCGCAGAAGAAGCACCGGCUAACUCCGUGCCAGCAGCCGCGGUAAUAC
rnacentral:rRNA from 1 species